rnacentral:rRNA from 1 species
CCUACGGGAGGCAGCAGUGAGGAAUAUUGGUCAAUGGCCGUAAGGCUGAACCAGCCAAGUCGCGUGAAGGAAGAAUGACCUAUGGGUUGUAAACUUCUUUUAUAGGGGACUAAAGGUAUCCACGUGUGGCUUUUUGUAUGUACUCUAUGAAUAAGCAUCGGCUAACUCCGUGCCAGCCGCCGCGGUAAUACGGAGGAUUCGAGCGUUAUCCGGAUUUAUUGGGUUUAAAGGGUGCGUAGGUGGGUUGUUAAGUCAGUGGUGAAAGUUUGUGGCUCAACCAUAAAAUUGCCGUUGAAACUGGAAGACUUGAGUGUAGUUGAGGUAGGCGGAAUGCGUGGUGUAGCGGUGAAAUGCAUAGAUAUCACGCAGAACUCCGAUUGCGAAGGCAGCUUACUAAGCCGUAACUGACACUGAAGCACGAAAGCGUGGGGAUCAAACAGGAUUAGAUACCCGGGUAGUC